rnacentral:rRNA from 1 species
UCAUCAUGCCCUUAUGAUUUGGGCUACACACGUGCUACAAUGGACAAUACAAAGGGCAGCGAAACCGCGAGGUCAAGCAAAUCCCAUAAAGUUGUUCUCAGUUCGGAUUGUAGUCUGCAACUCGACUAUAUGAAGCUGGAAUCGCUAGUAAUCGUAGAUCAGCAUGCUACGGUGAAUACGUUCCCGGGUCUUGUACACACCGCCCGUCACACCACGAGAGUUUGUAACACCCGAAGCCGGUGGAGUAACCAUUUGGAGCUAGCCGUCGAAGGUGGGACAAAUGAUUGGGGUGAAGUCGUAACAAGGUAGCCGUAUCGGAAGGUGCGGCUGGAUCACCUCCUUUCUAAGGA